UACCUUUACCUUUACCUUUACCUUUACCUUUACCUUUACCUUACUUUGUUCAGGGAAGGCCAGUCAUUUCACUGGGGUUCCCAUCUGAGCCCAGGAUGUGCUCAAUGAAGCAAAUGUCUCCUUUCAUUUCUUGCAAACUCUCAUUUUUGGAAUUCUAUUGCAGGAGAGCAAACGCCAGAUGCAAUGAGACAUCCCUGAAGUCUUUUUUUUCCAUUGAAAAGGCUUGCAGAACCUUGAUAAGUCCACUUUGUUGGCAGUUUGUUCUCUCAUUUUUGCCUAAAAGCAAGUGGCAAUUCCAGUUCUGGUCUCUUAAAUGAGAUGGAAGCCAGAGCUGACUUGCGGCUGGCUUCACCCGCGUGCUGGCCAUGCUAAUGCUCAUGUGCCUUGUGAGGGAUCUGACGGCCUUCCAAGAAGAGUGCCUGGCUGGCUCUUCACACAUUCGGGGCAGAGGCUUAUUAAAAACUCAAGCCUUGGUAGCCUCAGCUCUGAAGAGUGGACACCAAUCUUGCCUUACCCGGCAGGGAUGGAAAUGGAGAAGCACUCGUUCUUCAAGCUACUAAUGCAGGAGGAUCGAUCACAUUGAUUGGCUAAGAGGACCCUACAGGACCUCAAAAGUGGACUUGCAAUACAGAGAAAAGGAAGGAAGGAAGGAAGGAAGGAAGGAAGGAAGGAAGGAAGGAAGGAAUGAAAGAAGGAAGGAAGGAAGGAAGGAAGGAAGGAAGGAAGGAAGGAAGGAAGGAACGAAGGAACGAAAGAAGGAAGGAAGGAAGGAAGGAAGGAAGGAAGGAAGGAAGGAAGGAAGGAAGGAAGGAAGGAAGGAAGGAAGGAAAGAAGGAAGGAACGAAGGAAGGAAGGAACGAAGGAAGGAACGAAGGAAUGAAAGAAGGAAGGAAGGAACGAAGGAAGGAACGAAGGAAGGAAGGAAGAGCCGGGAUAGACUGAUCCCAGAAUUUCUGUGGCAAAAGGAAAACAAGGUGGGCUUCGCUUGGAAUAUUUCUGGUCCUUUCCAACUCAACAGUCCAUUAUCGUACACCAAGAAGGAACAUUGUUUUGUAAUCACAGAAAUUGGAAGUUGGACAUUUGAGCUUUAUAUAAAUAUUCAAAAACAUUUAACCUACUGAUGCCUCAAUUGAUGUAAGUUUAUUGGUAUCUAUUUUUAUUUCUAAAAUUUCCCACCCUCGGCUUAUACUGGAGUCAAUGUUUUCCCAGGUUUUUUUGUGGUAAAAUUAGGUGCCUCGGCUUAUAUUCAGGUUGGCUUAUACUCGAGUAUAUACGGUAUGUUGAAUUGGUCGAGACUCAGUGAGAUAUCCAUUGAAAAACGAGACCAAAAUGUACUGGAGGAUAUCUCAAAACAAAGUUUUUGUAGUCUAAUAAAAUCUUUGCAAUUUUUUAUGAUAGAGUCAAUUAGAAAAUGAGAUUUAUAACCUUGGAACAAAAAUCGUAGUGUUAAAUAUAAUUGAAAGGCCCUUGAACCCCACCAAUGAUAGAAUUGAACCAAACUUGGCACACAGAACUCCCAUGACCAACAGGAAGUACUGGAAGAGUUUGGUGGCCAAAGUCUAUUUUCCCCAAACCCCACCAGUGUCCAAAUUUGGGCAUAUGGAGUAUUCGUGCCAAAUUUGGUCCAGUGAAUGAAAAUACAUUCUGUAUAUCAGAUAUUUACAUUACAAUUCAUAACAGUAGCAACGAAGUUGUUAUAAAGUAGCAAUGAAAAUAAUUUUAUGGUUGGGGCUCACCACAACAUGAGGAACAUGUUGAAGUGGGAAUGAUUGUAUAUAGAGUUGUUUAAAUGUAAUUGAUUUAUAGUGAUGCAAUGUGAGCUGGAGAUUGCAUCAUGCACUGUCUGCUGUCCACUAUGCGAGUGUGUAAAGAGUUAACUGUGUAUUGCAUCAGACAGCAGAGGUGGUUAUAAAUAGCUCCCUGUGUUAUCUGUUCUGUCCUCUGCCCUCUGCUCUCUGCCUCUCUGCACUCUGUAUGUAUAUAUCGUCUUGAGAGUUUUCCGUUUGUUAGUAAAUCUUUUGUAGAAAGCCA